UGAGCCGAAGUCGGAAGCUCAACCGACUGAGCCACCCAGGCGCCCCUCGCUAUUGUUAAUAAUGCCAGCGUGAACGCUGGUGUGCCAGUGUCUCUUCAAGACCCCGCCUUCAGUUCUUUGAAGUACGCUUGCUGCGUGGAUGGUGGCGUCUCUGUGUUUAUUUUCUCCAGGAACUUCCAUACUUUUCCACAGAGGCUGCACCACCUUAUGUGCCCACCUGCAGUGCACAGGGGAAACAGACCUGGCAUCCUUUUUAAGAGUGGAAUUAAGGAGGUCUAAAUUUCCAGUUACAAAAUCAAGAAGUCACGGGGAUAAAAAAGAACAGCAUAGGAAACACAGGCAGUAAUGUUGUGAUAACGUCGUGUAAUGACGGAUGGCAGCUAGGCUCACGGUGCGGGAUGCUGGGGAUUGUGUGCAGUUGUGCGAUCCCCGUACGUCCGCCUGAAACUAAUAUGACCCUGUGCGUCCACUCUGUGAAAGCCACCGCACCAGAGUGGAGACGGGCCACAUCCCGGGAGUUCAGGUGGCAGGAUCCCGAGCCUGACGUCAGCCAGGAGCUCGGGGGCUCCCUGCCGUUGGUCGAUCCCUGUGUUCCUGGCGUGGCCUGGCAGGGUCGUGCAGAAUUCUAUGCCCAGCCACCUCUGAGCUGGUCACCGUGUAGAGCACAGUUUAGUCCGCACGUGGCCGAUCCUGUAGACGCCUGCCCCGUGUCUGCCUCCCCCUUUUUGCAUCCUAACACCGCUGCGCUUUUGUUCACACUUAGGGCCGGAGAUGUGUUUACUGGCCCCGGGUGCUGGGGGAGGCGCUGGGGGGGGGGGGGGCAGGGAGGACAAAGGGCCCCCAGGUGCGGAGGGUGGAUUAGUGCGGCCGAAACUAGAAUCGCAGAGUCUGCUCUGGACACUCGUUCGCCGCCCAGGACGGGGAGCCGGCAGCCCAGGGCAGAGCGAGUGCGUCCCCCCUUCCUGGGAAGGAGGCCAGUUAGAGCCGCCCCGCGGGGCCGGGGCCCGACGCCCCUCGCCAAGGACGCUGUGUUGUCUGUGUAUUUGGAAGGAAAGGAGGGUUAAAAUACCUCUUUGUCUACUGAGGACCGGGUCCGUCGUGACUCAUUUCUCCUUCCUUCCGUUUAGUAAGAGAGACGGGCCCUGUGCCAGCCAGUACGUUCCCAGGCCAGGCAGGUGCAGAACUCCCUGAGACGCUGCAACACACUGGAUUGCUCGUUUAAUUUAAGGCUUAAACAGCUCCAAGAAAUACGUAGAAGCCUAUGCAUCACCGCGGAGGACUUGAUCGGAGUUUCCACUUUACUGGUUUAACGAGUCCCCACGAUACUCGGUUCCAACCCGGGCGCACAUUUUGGAUUGCUGACGAGGCUCAGAACAUGCGCGUGCCCCAGUGUUUCACACCGACAGGCAGAGACACACGGGGUGGUCCUUCUCACGGGCCCUCCUCCUCCUGCACCCGCCUGGGGCCUGCGGGCCCGGCAGCCCCGGGUGCCCUGCACGCGCCCUGCUGCCUCCCUGGGACCCCUGCGGCCACCUGCCAGCAGCCGACUUGCGGAGCUAGGAUUUCCCGUGUUGGAAACAGGAAACAUAAAAAAUAAUCCUCUAGUUACGCAGAGACCCGGUGAGCAGAUCAGUGCGCCCUGAGCAGGCCCCUCAAGUGCAACCCAGCUCUGACCUUCCGCAGAGACCCCCUUCUUCCCAUUAUUGAUUCUUUAAUGGCAUCUAAUGAUGAUGUAAGGAGGCUGCCGGCCGGGCCCUUCAGUGCCGUCGAUCACUUGUUAAGGAUCAGAGAGGCACGCCCAUCUGCGUACCCCCGACCCGACAUCCCUGGAGGACCCUGCGCUGCCCCAGGACCCCUCCACCCGGUCCUUCCGGCCCUGCCCCCUCCGCC